rnacentral:rRNA from 1 species
CCCCAAGCUUACCUUGGGAACUGCUGUGGAUACUGGGCAGCUAGAGUGUGUCAGAGGAUGGUGGAAUUCCCGGUGUAGCGGUGAAAUGCGUAGAGAUCGGGAGGAACAUCAGUGGCGAAGGCGGCCAUCUGGGACAACACUGACGCUGAAGCACGAAAGCGUGGGGAGCAAACAG